AACGAACGCUGGCGGCAGGCCUAACACAUGCAAGUCGAGCGGACCCUUCGGGGUUAGCGGCUGACGGGUGAGUAACGCGUGGGAAUAUGCCCUUCUCUACGGAAUAGUCCUGGGAAACUGGGGGUAAUACCGUAUACGCCCUUUGGGGGAAAGAUUUAUCGGGGAAGGAUUAGCCCGCGUUGGAUUAGGUAGUUGGUGGGGUAAUGGCCUACCAAGCCGACGAUCCAUAGCUGGUUUGAGAGGAUGAUCAGCCACACUGGGACUGAGACACGGCCCAGACUCCUACGGGAGGCAGCAGUGGGGAAUCUUAGACAAUGGGGGCAACCCUGAUCUAGCCAUGCCGCGUGAGUGAUGAAGGCCUUAGGGUUGUAAAGCUCUUUCAGCUGGGAAGAUAAUGACGGUACCAGCAGAAGAAGCCCCGGCUAACUCCGUG
rnacentral:rRNA from 1 species